rfam:Schistosoma curassoni strain Dakar, Senegal genome assembly, scaffold: SCTD_contig0009776
AUUUAACUUACGAGUCCCAAAUAGGACGAAACACGCGUCCUGGAU